AUGACCAAGAAAAGGCAGACAUCUUUUUCACAUGUGUGAAGUCAUUCAAACUAUUGCACAAUAACAACAAAACAAUAAUAAAGAAGAUAUAUCUUAAUUCCUAUGUUCAUGAGGAUUCCCAGCAAACACAGAACGUUCCCCUAAUGUUAGCAUAUGGUUCCCGUUUGGUUAUUUUUUUCUGAAAACCAAUCCCUAACGUUCUCAGAACGUUCUCUGUGGAUUCUCUUUUUUUAUAACCAUAAUCUAACGUUCCCAGAGCGUUGGAGGGAGUUUUUUGUGGGACAACCUAAAACUAACUUAUACAGAACGUUUUCUAAUGGUUAUUUUUAGGUUUUAUAACCAUGAACUAACCUACCCAGAACGUUCCAGGGAUCCAGCAAACACAGAACAUUCCCCUAACGUUAGUAUAUGGUUCCCGUUUGGCUAUUUGUUUUUUUUUUUUGUUUUUUUGGAAACCAAUCACUAACGUUCUUGGAAUGUUCUCUUUAGGUUCUAUUUGUUUAAUAACCAUAAUCUAACGUUCCCAGAGCGUUGGAGGGAGGUUUUUGUGGGACAACCUAAAACUAACUUAUAAAGAAUGUUUUCUAAUGGUUAUUUUUAGGUUUUAUAACCAUGAACUAACCUACCUAGAACGUUCCCCUAAUGUUAGUAUAUGGUUCCCAUUUGGUUAUUUGUUUUAUUUUUAUUUUUUGGAAACCAAUCACUAACGUUCUUGGAACAUUCUCUUUAGAUUCUAUUUGUUUAAUAACCAUAAUCUAACGUUCCCAGAGCGUUGAAGGGAGGUUUUUGUGGGACAACCUAAAACUAACUUAUAAAGAAUGUUUUCUAAUGGUUAUUUUUAGGUUUUAUAACCAUGAACCAGCCUACCCAGAACGUUCCAGGGAUCUAGCAAAUGCAGAACGUUCCCCUAAUGUUAGCAUAUGGUUCCCAUUUGGUAAUUUUUUUUAUUGAUUUUUUUUUUUUUGGAAACCAAUCCCUAACGUUCUUGGAACGUUCUCUUUAGGUUCUCUUUUUUUAUAACCAUAGUCUAACGUUCCCAGAGCGCUGGAGGGAGUUUUUAGUGGGACAACCUAAAACUAACUUAUAAAGAACGUUUUCUAAUGGUUAUUUUUAGGUUUUAUAACCAUGAACUAACCUACCUAGAACGUUCCCCUAAUGUUAGUAUAUGGUUCCCAUUUGGUUAUUUGUUUUAUUUUUAUUUUUUGUAAACCAAUCACUAACGUUCUUGGAACAUUCUCUUUAGAUUCUAUUUGUUUAAUAACCAUAAUCUAACGUUCCCAGAGCGUUGGAGGGAGGUUUUUGUGGGACAACCUAAAACAAACUUAUAAAGAAUGUUUUCUAAUGGUUAUUUUUAGGUUUUAUAACCAUUAACUAACCUACCCAGAACGUUCCAGGGAUCCAACAAACACAGAACGUUCCCCUAAUGUUAGCGUAUGGUUCCCGUUUGGUUAUUUUAUUCUGAAAACCAAUCCCUAACGUUCUCAGAACGUUCUCUGUAGAUUCUCUUUUUUUAUAACCAUAAUCUAACGUUCCCAGAGCGUUGAAGGGAGGUUUUUGUGGCACAACCUAAAACUAACUUAUAAAGAAUGUUUUCUAAUGGUUAUUUUUAGGUUUUUUAACCAUUAACUAACCUACCCAGAACAUUCCAGGGAUUCAGCAAACACAGAACAUUCCCCUAAUGUUAGCAUAUGGUUCCUGUUUGGUUAUUUUUUUCUGAAAACCAAUCCCUAACGUUCUUGGAACGUUCUCUGUAGAUUCUCUUUUUUUAUAACCAUAAUAUAACAUUCCCAGAGCGUUGGAGGGAGGUUUUUGUGGGACAACCUAAAACUAACUUAUAAAGAAUGUUUUCUAAUGGUUAUUUUUAGGUUUUAUAACCAUGAACUAACCUACCUAGAACGUUCCCCUAAUGUUAGUAUAUGGUUCCCGUUUAGUUAUUUGUUUUAUUUUUAUUUUUUGGAAACCAAUCCCUAAUGUUCUUGGAACAUUCUCUUUAGGUACUAUUUGUUUAAUAACCAUAAUCUAACGUUCCCAGAGCGUUGGAGGGAGGUUUUUGUAGGACAACCUAAAACUAACUUAUAAAGAAUGUUUUCUAAUGGUUAUUUUUAGGUUUUAUAACCAUGAACUAACCUACCCAGAACGUUCCAGGGAUCCAGCAAACACAGAACAUUCCCCUAAUGUUAGCAUAUGGUUCCCGUUUGACUAUUUUUUUUGUUUUUUUGGAAACCAAUCACUAACGUUCUUGGAAUGUUCUCUUUAGGUUCUAUUUGUUUAAUAACCAUAAUCUAACGUUCCCAGAGCGUUGGAGGGAGGUUUUUGUGGGACAACCUAAAACUAACUUAUAAAGAACGUUUUCUAAUGGUUAUUUUUAGGUUUUAUAACCAUGAACUAACCUACCUAGAACAUUCCCCUAAUGUUAGUAUAUGGUUCCCAUUUGGUUAUUUGUUUUAUUUUUAUUUUUUGGAAACCAAUCACUAACGUUCUUGGAACAUUCUCUUUAGAUUCUAUUUGUUUAAUAACCAUAAUCUAACGUUCCCAGAGCGUUGGAGGGAGGUUUUUGUGGGACAACCUAAAACUAACUUAUA